rnacentral:lncRNA from 1 species
GAUGGUUCACCAUAAGGAGUAGAGUCAAUGGUCGUGCAGGAAUGAUGACGAAAUUGUGUAUCAUCUCUCUCUACAUUCUCCUGCUAGCCAAGAAAUAUGGUCGUUUAACACCAUAUUUGUUUGACCUUAGCUGGAUUGUUCUGCAUCCAUUGAGGCACUCUUUAUACAAUGGUUCAGUCCUCCAAUUCCGAAAGUAGGCCUUAUCCUUCG